rnacentral:piRNA from 1 species
UUUGUGAGAGAAGAAUGAGGA